ACGCAGUAAACGAUGAUGGCUAACCGCCGGCGAUACACAGUCGGUGGCCAAGCGAAAGCGAUAAGCCAUCCACCUGGGGAGUACGACCGCAAGGCUGAAACUCAAAGGAAUUGACGGGGGCCCGCACAAGCGGAGGAACAUGUGGUUUAAUUCGAUGAUACGCGAGGAACCUUACCCGGGCUCGAACGGCUGGUGAACGACCCAGAGAUGGGAAGGCCCUUCGGGGCGCCAGUCGAGGUGCUGCAUGGUUGUCGUCAGCUCGUGCCGUGAGGUGUCGGCUCAAGUGCCAUAACGAGCGCAACCCUUGCCGUCAGUUACCAGCACGUCAUGGUGGGGACUCUGGCGGGACUGCCACCGCAAGGUGUGAGGAAGGGGGGGAUGACGUCAAAUCAGCACGGCCCUUACGUCCGGGGCGACACACGUGUUACAAUGGUGGGUACAGAGGGGUGCUACCUGGUGACAGGAUGCUGAUCUCGAAAACCCAUCUCAGUUCGGACUGGAGUCUGCAACCCGACUCCACGAAGCUGGAUUCGCUAGUAAUCGCGCAUCAGCCAUGGCGCGGUGAAUACGUUCCCGGGCCUUGUACACACCGCCCGUCAAGCCAUGAAAGCUGGGGGCGCCUGAAGUUCGUGACCGCGAGGAGCGACCUAGGGCGAAACUGGUAAUUGGGGCU
rnacentral:rRNA from 1 species